CAGCCUACCUGCAGUCGAACGGUAGCACAGAGAGCUUGCUCUCGGGUGACGAGUGGCGGACGGGUGAGUAAUGUCUGGGAAACUGCCUGAUGGAGGGGGAUAACUACUGGAAACGGUAGCUAAUACCGCAUAACGUCGCAAGACCAAAGAGGGGGACCUUCGGGCCUCUUGCCAUCAGAUGUGCCCAGAUGGGAUUAGCUAGUAGGUGGGGUAACGGCUCACCUAGGCGACGAUCCCUAGCUGGUCUGAGAGGAUGACCAGCCACACUGGAACUGAGACACGGUCCAGACUCCUACGGGAGGCAGCAGUGGGGAAUAUUGCACAAUGGGCGCAAGCCUGAUGCAGCCAUGCCGCGUGUAUGAAGAAGGCCUUCGGGUGUAAAGUACUUUCAGCGGGGAGGAAGGUGUUGUGGUUAAUAACCGCAGCAAUUGACGUUACCCGCAGAAGAAGCACCGGCUAACUCCGUGCCAGCAGCCGCGGUAAUACGGAGGGUGCAAGCGUUAAUCGGAAUUACUGGGCGUAAAGCGCACGCAGGCGGUCUGUCAAGUCGGAUGUGAAAUCCCCGGGCUCAACCUGGGAACUGCAUUCGAAACUGGCAGGCUAGAGUCUUGUAGAGGGGGGUAGAAUUCCAGGUAUAGCGGUGAAAUGCGUAGAGAUCUGGAGGAAUACCGGUGGCGAAGCGGCCCCCUGGACAAA
rnacentral:rRNA from 1 species